rnacentral:rRNA from 1 species
UAUUGGACAAUGGGCGCAAGCCUGAUCCAGCAAUACCGCGUGUGUGAAGAAGGCCUUAGGGUUGUAAAGCACUUUCAAUUGGGAGGAAAACCUGCCGGUCAAUACCCGGUAGCUUGACAUUACCUUUAGAAGAAGCACCGGCUAACUCCGUGCCAGCAGCCGCGGUAAUACGGAGGGUGCGAGCGUUAAUCGGAAUUACUGGGCGUAAAGCGUGCGUAGGCGGUUCGUUAAGUCAGAUGUGAAAGCCCUGGGCUCAACCUGGGAACUGCAUUUGAAACUGGCGGACUAGAGUUUAGUAGAGGGGAGUGGAAUUUCAGGUGUAGCGGUGAAAUGCGUAGAUAUCUGAAGGAACACCAGUGGCGAAGGCGACUCCCUGGACUAGAACUGACGCUGAGUACGAAA